rnacentral:lncRNA from 12 species
AAAGUAAUAACUAACUCAAUAUAUCGAAUGACUAUGGGUCUGGUACAGAUAUGCAGCCAAAGCCCUAAACCUCUAAGGCCAUACUGUAACCACACAUACCUCCACAAGCUCUGGGGUCUCCCUGUGUAAUGAAAGGUGGUUUCUUUACAGAUUUCAUUAGCAUGGAUAAUAACUUGCUAAUGUGUUUGUUAUAUUGUAUUCCAAUCUUUUUCAUUUUUUCUCUCUCUUGGCCUCUCAUGGUAUUUACUGGAAAUACCUUCAAGUCCAACAGAAAUAAGAUUUCAUCAAGGUUUUUUUUUUUUUCUAUUUAAGGACAUUACUUAUCCAGAGUGGUAAUAUAUUCCCUCCCCAAAUUAAUGCAUUGAUGUGACCAUAUUAAUUCCCCCUUCAGUUCUUUUUUUUUUUUUUAAUAGCAGGAAAAUAAUGAAUUCAAGGGAAAUCACUCUGCAUAAAAUGCCAGAAGUCCUUGGACCCAAAGAUAAGAAUUUUGCAAGAUUUCCUUCUGAAGAGUCAACUCUUCUGCUCACUACACAUAUGGGUGCAAUCAAUUGAGGUCUCAAGAUGGUCAACAUGGAUAGUAAUAAGAGCUUCCUUUGUUUGGUUAUCUCUCAUGGGUUAUGCCCUGGUAUAUGAACUUUGAGGACCGUGUCCCACAGGCUCUUCAUAACAACUCUUCCAGGAAGAAAGGGGAUAGACCAUCGGGCUAUCCAUCAGGCUGUGAGCUGAAAUGGUGUGACAAUGUAGAAUCCACAAAUGGCAAGCCACCAAGCAGGAAUCCAACACCUUGCCAACAUAUCCCUAUGUCCCUCCAUGAAGCACUUGAGGAGUAUUCAAAAGGUACUUUGGCUGCUGCCAAAGUUGUUGAAGGAACAAAUCAAGGACACAAGGUUGAGAGAUGCAAUGUGGCAGAUUUCAAACAGGAGAGCUGCUGAGUACUUCACUACCUUUCGUAUUUUCAAAAUAAAUAUUGAAAUAAUAGAAAUAUAUGAAUGGGU